rnacentral:rRNA from 1 species
GUGUAAGUGCCGUGAGGCAUUCAGCUUGGCAGUACUAAUAGGUCGAGGGCUUGACCAU